AUCCUUAUGAUGAAAUUGGUAAACAUGUUAAAUUUAAAAUUUAAUGGCCUAAAAAGAGGCUUUAAAGGUUCAAAUCCUUUUAAGGACA